rnacentral:lncRNA from 12 species
UAUUCCUUUAGCUUUUUCAACCAUGGUCCAAGAUAUUAUGCUUAUCUGUAAGUGGGCUUAACCAAGGAGGGUCUGAAGCCUGGAGAUGAGCCUGCCUAGCAAACUUCCCUUUGUUACUCAUCAUAGAACCCUUGUAGGUCUCAAGCACGUCACUCUGAACCACACAAUUAGUUCUGAAGAGCAUGGAGCCUACAUAGAUUCAUAAGGUAAAUGAUUAAUUUCAAAAUAUGAUGUCAGAGAUUCAAUUACAGUAUGAAUUCCAGCAUUGUAUAAAUAUGUUGUUUUUCAUUCAUCUUUUGGAGAUUGGGUAGUGCUGUGGGAACAAUAAACUGCAUUUGUGGGUUGGCUCUCUGCA